rnacentral:rRNA from 1 species
AGUGGGGAAUAUUGCACAAUGGAGGAAACUCUGAUGCAGCAACGCCGCGUGGAGGAUGACACAUUUCAGGUGCGUAAACUCCUUUUAUAUGAGAAGAUAAUGACGGUAUCAUAUGAAUAAGCACCGGCUAACUCCGUGCCAGCAGCCGCGGUAAUACGGGGGGUGCAAGCGUUACUCGGAAUCACUGGGCGUAAAGAGAAUGUAGGCUGGUUAUUAAGUUGGAAGUGAAAUCCUAUAGCUCAACUAUAGAACUGCUUCCAAAACUGAUUACCUAGAAUAUGGGAGAGGUAGAUGGAAUUUCUGGUGUAGGGGUAAAAUCCGUAGAGAUCAGAAGGAAUACCGAUUGCGAAGGCGAUCUACUGGAACAUUAUUGACGCUGAGAUUCGAAAGCGUGGGGAGCAAACAGGAUUAGAUACCCUGGUAGUCCACGCCCUAAACGAUGCACACUAGUUGUUGCGAGGCUAGACCUUGCAGUAAUGCAGUUAACACAGUAAGUGUGCCGCCUGGGGAGUACGGUCGCAAGAUUAAAACUCAAAGGAAUAGACGGGGACCCGCACAAGCGGUGGAGCAUGUGGUUUAAUUCGACGAUACGCGAAGAACCUUACCUGGCCUUGACAUAGUAAGAACUUUUUAGAGAUAAAUUGGUGCUAGUUUACUAGAACUUACAUACAGGUGCUGCACGGCUGUCGUCAGCUCGUGUCGUGAGAUGUUGGGUUAAGUCCCGCAACGAGCGCAACCCUCGUGUUUAGUUACUAACAGUUAGGCUGAGGACUCUAAACAGACUGCCUGGGUAACCAGGAGGAAGGUGAGGACGACGUCAAGUCAUCAUGGCCCUUACGGCCAGGGCUACACACGUGCUACAAUGGGGUAUACAAAGAGCAGCGAUACCGUGAGGUGGAGCAAAUCUCAUAAAAUAUCUCCCAGUUCGGAUUGAAGUCUGCAACUCGACUUCAUGAAGUUGGAAUCGCUAGUAAUCGUGAAUCAGCAAUGUCACGGUGAAUACGU